rnacentral:rRNA from 1 species
UACGUAGGGUGCGAGCGUUAAUCGGAAUUACUGGGCGUAAAGCGUGCGCAGGCGGUUCGUUAAGUCAGCUGUGAAAGCCCCGGGCUCAACCUGGGAAUUGCGGUUGAAACUGGCGGACUAGAAUCUGGCAGAGGGGGGUGAAAUUCCACGUGUAACAGUGAAAUGCGUAGAGAUGUGGAGGAACACCGAUGGCGAAGGCAGCCCCCUGGGCUGAGAUUGACACUCAGGCACGAAAGCGUGGGGAGCAAACAGG